rnacentral:rRNA from 1 species
GACGAACGCUGGCGGCGUGCUUAACACAUGCAAGUCGAGCGGUAAGGCCCUUUCGGGGGUACACGAGCGGCGAACGGGUGAGUAACACGUGGGUGACCUGCCCUCAGCUCUGGGAUAAGCCUGGGAAACCGGGUCUAAUACCGGAUAUGACCCCAUGACGCAUGUUGUGGGGUGGAAAGCCUUGUGCGGCUGAGGAUGGGCCCGCGGCCUAUCAGCUUGUUGGUGGGGUGAUGGCCACCAAGGCGACGACGGGUAGCCGGCCUGAGAGGGCGACCGGCCACACUGGGACUGAGACACGGCCCAGACUCCUACGGGAGGCAGCAGUGGGGAAUCUUGCGCAAUGGGCGAAAGCCUGACGCAGCGACGCCGCGUGAGGGAUGACGGCCUCGGUUGUAA